CCCAGACUCCUACGGGAGGCAGCAGUGGGGAAUAUUGGGCAAUGGAGGAAACUCUUACCCAGCAAUGCCGCGUGAAUGAAGAAGGUCUUCGGAUUGUAAAGUUCUUUAAUUGGGGACGAAAAAAAUGACGGUACCCAAGGAAUAAGCCCCGGCUAACUACGUGCCAGCAGCCGCGGUAAUACGUAGGGGGCAAGCGUUAUCCGGAUUUACUGGGUGUAAAGGGAGCGUAGACGGCGCGGCAAGUCUGAAGUGAAAGGCAGGGGCUUAACCCCUGAACUGCUUUGGAAACUGCCAUGCUAGAGUGCUGGAGAGGUAAGUGGAAUUCCUAGUGUAGCGGUGAAAUGCGUAGAUAUUAGGAGGAACACCAGUGGCGAAGGCGGCUUACUGGACUGUAACUGACGUUGAGGCUCGAAAGCGUGGGGAGCAAACAGGAUUAGAUACCCGCGUA
rnacentral:rRNA from 1 species